rnacentral:rRNA from 1 species
ACGAACGCUGGCGGCGUGCUUAACACAUGCAAGGCGCACGGAAAGGCCCCUUUGGGGGUACUCGAGUGGCGAACGGGUGAGGAACACGUGAGUAACCUGCCCUUCACUUCGGGAUAACAUCAGGAAACGGGGGCGAAUACCGGACCGGAAACCUUGCUGCACGGCGGGGGGUGGAAAGCUUCGGCGGUUUUGGAUGGAAUCGAGGCGUAUCAGCUUGGUGGGUGGGUAGUGGCUUACCAAGGCAUUGACGGGGAGCCGGCCUGGGGGGGCGGCCGGCCCCAUUUGGGCUGGGCUACGGGCCAGACUCCUACGGGGGGCAGCAAUGGGGAAUAUUGCCCCAAGGGCCGGAACCUGAUGCAGCAACGCCGCGUGCGGGAUUACGGGCUUCGGGUUGUAAACCGCUUUCAGCAUGGGCGGAGCUUGUAGUGACGGUACCUGCAGAAGAAGCACCGGCUAACUACGUG